CGCCCCGUCAGGGCCCGGCGUGUGAUGUUCCCCUCCCUGUGUCCCAUGUGUUCUCGCUGUUCAACUCCCACUUAGGAGCGAGAACAUGCGGUGUUUGGUUUUCGCUUCCUGUGUCAGUUUGCUGAGAAUGAGGCCUUCCAGCUUCAUCCACGUUCCCGCAGAGGUCAUGAACUCAUCCUUUUUUAUGGCUGCGUAGUAAUUCCAUGCUGUAUACGUGCCACACUUUCUUUAUCCAGCCUAUCAUUCAUGGGCAUUCGAGUUGGUUCCAAGUCUUUGCUAUUGUAAAUAGUGCUGCAGUAAACAUACGUGUCCACGUGUCUUCCUAGUAGGAACUUCUUCCUCUUCAGCCCGCUGAGUAGCUGGCACUUUAAGGCAGGUGCCAACGCACCGGCAGCAAGCUUCCUUUUUUGCCCGGGAAAAACUGAGGUGCAGGUAGUAUAAGCCAUUGAUCACGGAACGCACAGGAGCAGAGCUCGAGUCCAAGCAUCGUGGCUCCACCCGUCAUGCUGGAUGCAUCUUUAGGCUCCGCUCUAGGUAUGUGUAUCCUUUACGGGAUCAGCCACCGGCAGUUGCCUUGCGAGCACGAUGACAAACCUCUGCCGGCUCUUUUGGGUCUCAUCCCUGUAUCUAUACGUUGCAUCCCAACAUAAAGACCGGAAUGUUCCUUUCGCUGACCCAGUCUCUCACCCUUUCCAAACUCCAGAAAUCUUGUCUGUCCUCGGAAGAACUCCCCCUGCUUCUUUCUCUAAAGGCUGUCUUCAGGCCGGGCACAGUGGGAGGAUCGCUUGAGCCCAGAAGGCCGCAGUGAGGUGAGAUCGCGCCAUUGCACUGCAGCCCCCGGCGGCAGAGCCGGAGCCCCGUCUCGAAACAAACAAACAAAAACCAACCAACCAACCAACCAACCAACAAACAAACACAGACAAAGAAAGAAAGAGCCCAGGCAACCUAGUGAAAACCUGUUCGGGCUGGGGCAUACCUGUACCCCAGCUGUUCCGGAGGCUGAGGCCAGGAGGAUGGGUGGACGCUGGGAGGUGGAUGCUGCAGUGAGCAGUGAUUGCACCACUGCACUCCAGCCUGGGUGACAGAGCCAGACCCCGUCCCAAAUAAAUAAACAUAAAAAUAAAGGAACCAGUUUGUAGAAAGCGGGAGAGGGUCCCAUUGAACUUCAAGCCUUCGAGCAACAGCUGUGGCUGGACAGGUUGGACCAGCAGGCUGGAGCAGUCGCCAUCUUGGCAGGGAUCAUUGACCCUGAUCUAUCGUCGGGAGGAGGAAGAGCUGAUCUUACGCAGGGAGGGCAGGUGGACUAUGUGUGGACUCUGGUGACCUGUUUGGGUGCCAGGUGUUACUCCCAGGGCCACCCGUAACUGUGAAUGUGCAGGAACCCUGACUUGAGAAGGGCCUGGCCACGGGGGGCUUAGGCCCCUGGGGAAUGAGAGUUUGGUUCCCGGUACCCAGGGAAACCACCAGCAUCGGCAGAGGUGAUAGCUGAGGAGGAGCGGGGAUUUGGACGAGAGACACAGGAUGAGUACCGGGGGGCAGCCCCGUGAUCAACAACUGCUGCAAGAGGGGCCGUUUGUUCGACUCGCUAGUCUUCUGCGGCUCUAUGCGGUACUAAAGAGCAGAAGACAGAAGAUACAAAAACCACAAAAAGUAGCCGGGCGUGGUGCUGCCCGUCAAUAAUCCCAGCUACUCGGGAGGCUGAGACAGGAGAAUCGCUUGAACCCGGGAGGCGGAAGUUUCAGCGAGCCGAGAUCACGCCGUUGCAGUCCAACCUGAGCGUCCGAGCGAGACUCUAUCUCAGAAAAUAAAGACAGAAUGAAAGAGCCCGGCGCGGUGGCUUACGCCUGUAAUCCCAGCGCUUUGGGAGGCCGAGGCGGGCGGAUCGCCUGAGGUCAGGAGCUCGAGACC
rnacentral:lncRNA from 1 species